rnacentral:rRNA from 1 species
GAUGAACGCUGGCGGCGUGCCUAACACAUGCAAGUCGAGCGAACAGACGAGGAGCUUGCUCCUUUGACGUUAGCGGCGGACGGGUGAGUAACACGUAGGUCACCUACCUAUAAGACUGGGAUAACUUCGGGAAACCGUAGCUAAUACCGGCUAAUAUUUCGAACCGCAUGGUUCGAUAGUGAAAGAUGGCUUUGCUAUCACUUAUAGAUGGACCUGCGCCGUAUUAGCUAGUUGGUAAGGUAACGGCUUACCAAGGCAACGAUACGUAGCCGACCUGAGAGGGUGAUCAGCCACACUGGAACUGAGACACGGUCCAGACUCCUACGGGAGGCAGCAGUAGGGAAUCUUGCACAAUGGGCGAAAGCCUGACGGAGCAACGCCGCGUGAGUGAUGAAGGUCUUCGGAUCGUAAAACUCUGUUGUUAGGGAAGAACAAACGUGUAAGUAACUGUGCACGUCUUGACGGUACCUAAACAGAAAGCCACGGCUAACUACGUG